rnacentral:rRNA from 1 species
AGGACGAACGCUGGCGGCGUGCUUAACACAUGCAAGUCGAGCGGAAAGGCCCUUCGGGGUACUCGAGCGGCGAACGGGUGAGUAACACGUGAGCAACCUGCCCCUGGCUCUGGGAUAGCUCCGGGAAACCGGGAUUAAUACCGGAUAUGACCCCCUUCUGCAUGGUGGGGGGUGGAAAGUUUUUCGGCUGGGGAUGGGCUCGCGGCCUAUCAGCUUGUUGGUGGGGUGAUGGCCUACCAAGGCGACGACGGGUAGCCGGCCUGAGAGGGCGGACGGCCACACUGGGACUGAGACACGGCCCAGACUCCUACGGGAGGCAGCAGUGGGGAAUAUUGCGCAAUGGGCGGAAGCCUGACGCAGCGACGCCGCGUGGGGGAUGAAGGCCUUCGGGUUGUAAACCUCUUUCAGCAGGGCGAAGCGAGAGUGACGGUACCUGCAGAAGAAGCGCCGGCUAACUACGUGCCAGCAGCCGC